AAAUGACUGGAAAUCAUGA
rnacentral:snRNA from 1 species